AGGGAUCAUUAAAGUUAUUCCAACUUAACCCUUGUGAACUCGUUUCUAACCACCGUGGGACCAUUAUGGACAAGUCUAUGAGCGGGGAUAAGACUGAGGAGUGAGGUGCACUCCUAGUUCGCUCCUUGUCUGCCUUCUUGGAGGCUAAAUGAUCUUGCGCUUCUUCCCACUUUUUAUCAUUUACCCUUUGUAUAAUUAUGAAUACCCGAGUAUGGCCUAACAGCCUACUUGAUUAAGAAAUUUUUGUGCAACUCUUAGCAACGGAUAUCUUGGCUCCU
rnacentral:misc_RNA from 1 species